rnacentral:rRNA from 1 species
AUUGAACGCUGGCGGCAGGCCUAAUACAUGCAAGUCGAACGAGUGGCGGACGGGCGAGUAAUGUAUGGGAAACUGCCUGAUGGAGGGGGAUAACUACUGGAAACGGUAGCUAAUACUGCAUACUAUCAGAUCUGCCCAGGUGGGAUUAGCAAGUUGGUGGGGUAACGGCUCCCGAAGGCGACGCUCCCUAGCAGGUCUGAGAGGAUGACCAGCCACACUGGUACUGUGACACCGUCCAGACUCCUCCUGGAGGCAGCAGUGGGGAAUAUUGCACAAUCGGCGCAAGCCUGAUGCCGCCAUGCCGCUUGUAUUAAGACGGCCUUCGGGUUGUAAAGUACUUUCAGCGGGGAGGCGUUACCCGCAGAAGAAGCACCGUCUAACUCCGUGCCAGCAGCCGCGGUAAUAC